UUUUUUCAACUUUGCAUUGAAAGAUAUUUCAAAUACUUGCCAUUUUUUAACUUUCUCUUGCCUUCUUUAUGAUCUUUCUCUCUUUUUUAAUAGAUAGGGAUGCAUUUCAAUUAUUUUUAACUCUUGUCUACCACCAUUUCUAGCCACCUCAGGUCAUCACAACGGCUCUUUUAGCAAUUCAAAUUUCAAUUUUUUACAAGAGGAAUCCUAACUUAAAUUUUCCUCAAUAAAUACUUGCAUUGAAAGAUAUUUUAGGAAAACAGCUCUGGACGCCAUCUUCUCCUCUCUAAAAAAACUUCAUUUUUUCCUAUUAGUUAUCUCCAGAAAGAAAAACUUUAACUUCAACACUUCUACUGUUGCUAUUUAGUAUUUACCAUAGCAGAAAUUUGGAUGCUUUAUUUAUUUUAGUAUAACCGGCCUUUGAGAGGAGAGAAGAGCUGAGCAGCCCUUCUAUCUCCCUUCACCUUAUCUUCUUCUUUGCUCGCUCAAAAUCCAGCUUUAAGUUUUCUCUACUUUUUGACCUCUAUUUAGUCCAUAUCCUUGCCAAAGUUUUUAUUUAUUUAUCGCGUCCGCAUUUGACUCUCUUCUGAAGUAGUUGAGCCAAAGUCGAAGAUCUUCUUGACGCCGCCCUCAGUUCGCUGCCCGCAAAAAGGUCAACAACCUCUUCUUUUUACUUUCGAUUCAAGUAUUAUUUAGUUGUAAUCCUUGCUUACAAAUGUCAACAUUGUAACUCGUUGAUUUGAAGAAAGAAAGGAAGAAGAAGAUGAACAGUGCGAGAGGAAA
rnacentral:lncRNA from 1 species